rnacentral:rRNA from 1 species
AAUCCGUAGAAAUGCGGUCUAAUACCUUAUGUGUUCCGACGAGGGCAUCUGAAUUGGAAUAAAGAUUUAUCGGUUAUGGAUGGGGAUGCGUCUGAUUAGAUUGUUGGCGGGGCAACGGCCCACCAAGUCUGCGAUCAGUAGGGGUUCUGAGAGGAAGGUCCCCCACAUUGGAACUGAGACACGGUCCAAACUCCUACGGGAGGCAGCAGUGAGGAAUAUUGGUCAAUGGGCGGGAGCCUGAACCAGCCAAGUAGCGUGCAGGAUGACGGCCCUAUGGGUUGUAAACUGCUUUUGUAUGGGGAUAAAUUGCUCCACGUGUGGAGUAUUGCAGGUACCAUACGAAUAAGGACCGGCUAAUUCCGUGCCAGCAGCCGCGGUAAUACGGAAGGUCCGGGCGUUAUCCGGAUUUAUUGGGUUUAAAGGGAGCGUAGGCCGUGGAUUAAGUGUGUUGUGAAAUGUAGGCGCUCAACGUCUGACUUGCAGCGCAUACUGGUCCACUAGAGUGCGCGCAACGCGGGCGGAACUUGUCGUGUAGCGGUGAAAUGCUUAGAUAUGACGAAGAACCCCGAUUGCGAAGGCAGCUCGCGGGAGCGCAACUGACGCUGAAGCUCGAAAGUGCGGGUAUCGAACAGGAUUAGAUACCCUGGUAGUCCGCACGGUAAACGAUGGAUGCCCGCUUUUCGGUCAUAAGACCGUGAGGCCAAGUGAAAACAUUAAGCAUCCCACCUGGGGAGUACGCCGGCAACGGUGAAACUCAAAGGAAUUGACGGGGGCCCGCACAAGCGGAGGAACAUGUGGUUU